GAUGAAGAACGCAGCGAAAUGCGAUAAGUAAUGUGAAUUGCAGAAUUCAGUGAAUCAUCGAAUCUUUGAACGCACAUUGCGCCCGCCAGUAUUCUGGCGGGCAUGCCUGUCCGAGCGUCAUUUCAACCCUCGAACCCCUCCGGGGGGUCGGCGUUGGGGAUCGGCCCUGCCUUUGGCGGUGGCCGUCUCCGAAAUACAGUGGCGGUCUCGCCGCAGCCUCUCCUGCGCAGUAGUUUGCACACUCGCAUCGGGAGCGCGGCGCGUCCACAGCCGUUAAACACCCAACUUCUGAAAUGUUGACCUCGGAUCAGGUAGGAAUACCCGCUGAACUUAAGCAUAUCAAUAAGAGGAGGA
rnacentral:misc_RNA from 1 species